GGAUGCGAGGUCCAUCUGGCUGCACCUUCUGUCACCCCACUGAUCAUCAGGGUUGAUUCAGUUGGUCUGGCUGCAGGAGUCCCCUUUCUCCCUCACUGCUCCAUGUGCUUCCCUCUCAAAGCUGUGUGGUAGGUAGAAGAGGACAACAAUCCCCAGAUCCCCAUACAAGAGGAUGGUUCUUCCGUCAGGGGUAAACAGGUAGCUGUACUUUCUCCAAACAAGUUCUCAAGAAAUACAACAGUGAGACCCUCCCAAGUU
rnacentral:snRNA from 1 species